rnacentral:rRNA from 1 species
UACGGGGGGGGCAAGCGUUGUCCGGAAUUACUGGGCGUAAAGGGCUCGUAGGCGGCCAACUAAGUCGGAUGUGAAAUCCCCAGGCUUAACCUGGGAACUGCAUCCGAUACUGGAUGGCUUGAAUCCGGGAGAGGGAUGCAGAAUUCCAGGUGUAGCGGUGAAAUGCGUAGAUAUCUGGAGGAAUACCGGUGGCGAAGGCGGCAUCCUGGACCGGCAUUGACGCUGAGUGAGCGAAAGCCAGGGGAGCAAACGGG